ACGGGUGAGUAACGCGUGGGAACGUACCUUUUGGUUCGGAACAACUGAGGGAAACUUCAGCUAAUACCGGAUAAGCCCUUACGGGGAAAGAUUUAUCGCCGAAAGAUCGGCCCGCGUCUGAUUAGCUAGUUGGUGAGGUAAGAGCUCACCAAGGCGACGAUCAGUAGCUGGUCUGAGAGGAUGAUCAGCCACACUGGGACUGAGACACGGCCCAGACUCCUACGGGAGGCAGCAGUGGGGAAUAUUGGACAAUGGGCGAAAGCCUGAUCCAGCCAUGCCGCGUGAGUGAUGAAGGCCCUAGGGUUGUAAAGCUCUUUUGUGCGGGAAGAUAAUGACGGUACCGCAAGAAUAAGCCCCGGCUAACUUCGUGCCAGCAGCCGCGGUAAUACGAAGGGGGCUAGCGUUGCUCGGAAUCACUGGGCGUAAAGGGUGUGUAGGCGGAUCUUUAAGUCAGGGGUGAAAUCCUGGAGCUCAACUCCAGAACUGCCUUUGAUACUGAGGGUCUUGAGUUCGGGAGAGGUGAGUGGAACUGCGAGUGUAGAGGUGAAAUUCGUAGA
rnacentral:rRNA from 1 species